rnacentral:rRNA from 1 species
GACGAACGCUGGCGGCGUGCCUAAUACAUGCAAGUAGAACGCUGAAGAGAGGAGCUUGCUCUUCUUGGAUGAGUUGCGAACGGGUGAGUAACGCGUAGGUAACCUGCCUUGUAGCGGGGGAUAACUAUUGGAAACGAUACCUAAUACCGCAUAACAAUGGAUGACACAUGUCAUUUAUUUGAAAGGGGCAAUUGCUCCACUACAAGAUGGACCUGCGUUGUAUUAGCUAGUAGGUGAGGUAAUGGCUCACCUAGGCGACGAUACAUAGCCGACCUGAGAGGGUGAUCGGCCACCCUGGGACUGAGACACGGCCCAGACUCCUACGGGAGGCAGCAGUAGGGAAUCUUCGGCAAUGGGGGCAACCCUGACCGAGCAACGCCGCGUGAGUGAAGAAGGUUUUCGGAUCGUAAAGCUCUGUUGUAAGUCAAGAACGGGUGUGAGAGUGGAAAGUUCACACUGUGACGGUAGCUUACCAGAAAGGGACGGCUAACUACGUG